rnacentral:misc_RNA from 1 species
AUGACUCUCUUAAGGUAGCCUGUAGGCAC